GCCAGCGUGGUGUAGUGGUUUGAGUGUUGGACUGUGACUCCAGAGACCAAGGUUUGAACCCAGGGUUAGGCC